rnacentral:rRNA from 1 species
AGGGGUGUUAAGUGUCUGGAGAUCUGCCCUAUAGAGGGGGAUAACCUCUGGAAACGGUGGCUAAUACCGCAAAACCUCGCAAGACCAAAGAGGGGGACCUUCGGGCCUCUCACUAUCGGAUGAACCCAGAUGGGAUUAGCUAGUAGGCGGGGUAACGGCCCACCUAGGCCACGAUCCCUAGCUGGUCUGAGAGGAUGACCAGCCACACUGGAACUGAGACACGGUCCAGACUCCUACGGGAGGCAGCAGUGGGGAAUAUUGCACAAUGGGCGCAAGCCUGAUGCACCCGUGCCGCGUGUAUGAAGAAGGCCUUCGGGUUGUAAAGUACUUUCAGCGGGGAGGAAGGCGAUGUGGUUAAUAACCGCAUUGAUUGACGUUACCCGCAAAAGAAGCACCGGCUAACUCCGUGCCAGCAGCCGCGGUAAUACAGAGGGUGCAAGCGUUAAUCGGAAUUACUGGGCGUAAAGCGCACGCACGCGGUCUGUUAAGUCAGAUGUGAAAUCCCCGGGCUUAACCUGGGAACUGCAUUUGAAACUGGCAGGCUUGAGUCUCGUAGAGGGGGGUAGAAUUCCGUGUGUAGCGGU